rnacentral:lncRNA from 1 species
GUCCUAUGUGCAAUUUCUCCUUUGAUAACAUUCAGCUUUCAGUAAUUUAUGCAGACCCUCCAUCCGUUUUGUACCUUUGUUGAUACCUUCUCGCUGUCUUGGUUUUCUAUCAUUGUUAUUCCCGUUUUCUUUGGUACUAUUUGCACUGGACUCACCCAUUUGCUAUAUGAGAUUGGGUAGAUGACUCCGACAUCUAGCAACUUCAAGAACUCCUUCUUCAUAACCUCCAUUAUCAAUGGGUUUAAAUGCC